rnacentral:rRNA from 1 species
CUACGGGAGGCAGCAGUGGGGAAUAUUGGACAAUGGGGGCAACCCUGAUCCAGCCAUGCCGCGUGUGUGAAGAAGGCCUUAGGGUUGUAAAGCACUUUCAGUGGUGAGGAAGGCUGAGUAGUUAAUACCUGCUUAGUUUGACGUUAGCCACAGAAGAAGCACCGGCUAACUCUGUGCCAGCAGCCGCGGUAAUACAGAGGGUGCGAGCGUUAAGCGGAAUUACUGGGCGUAAAGCGCGCGUAGGUGGUUUGUUAAGUCGGAUGUGAAAUCCCCGGGCUCAACCUGGGAACUGCACCCGAUACUGGCAGGCUAGAGUACGAUAGAGGGGUGUGGAAUUUCCGGUGUAGCGGUGAAAUGCGUAGAUAUAGGAAGGAACAUCAGUGGCGAAGGCGACACCCUGGAUUGAUACUGACACUGAGGUGCGAAAGCGUGGGGAGCAAACAGGAUUAGAUACCCCCGUAGUC